rnacentral:rRNA from 1 species
ACAGAGGCCACGAGCGUUAGGCGGAAUCACUGGGCUUAAAGCGUGUGUAGGCGGAGGUGUAAGUGUCUUGUGAAAUCCCACGGCUCAACCGUGGAACUGCUGGGCAUACUGCGUCUCUUGAGCCGGCCAGGGGUCACCGGAACAAGCGGUGGAGCGGUGAAAUGCGUAGAUAUCGCUUGGAACGCCAACGGUGAAAACAGGUGACUGGGGCCGCGCUGACGCUGAGACACGAAAGCCAGGGGAGCGAACGGGA